GGAGAGGUGCGAGAGUGGUUGAAUCGGGCGGUCUCGAAAACCGUUGUGCGUUAAUUCGUACCGUGGGUUCGAAUCCCACCCUCUCCG
rfam:Chlorobium phaeobacteroides BS1, complete genome.